rnacentral:rRNA from 1 species
AUGGUGCAACAGCACAGAAUCUACGUCGUGCAGUUCGACAAGGGGGAGCCGGACCAGGAGGAGCUGUCAUGCAAGGCCUCGCCGCCCAAGGGCGGCGGCCGCCGGAUCAUGUACUACUACCAUGACUACGGCACCGGAGGCGGCGCCGGCAAGAACGGCAAGCCGGCCAAGUCCAGGGCGCUCAGCCUGAGCGGCUUCUUCGGCUUGCUCCUCAUCUGCCUUUUCGGCCUCGCCACGCUCCUCGCGGCCCCGGGCGCCUUCUUCUCCUUCGCGCGCACCGGCGGCGCGGCGGCGACGGCGGCGGCCACGCAGCAGCGGCAGAGCGAGCGGUGCUCCGGGAUCGGCAACGACACCCUGUGCUGCGACCGCUCGUCGAGGCGCGCGGACAUGUGCUUCGCGCGCGGCGACCUGCGCAUGCACUCGGCGAGCGCGUCGUUCCAGCUCGUGUCCUCCGCUGGGCGACCGGCGGAGGAGGAGAGGAUACGGCCGUACACGCGCAAGUGGGAGGCGCACGUGAUGAAGACCAUCGACGAGGUGCGGUUCCGGCGCGUGCCCCCCGGCGAGGCGGCGCGCUGCGACGUGCGGCACGACAUGCCGGCCGUGCUGCUCUCCACGGGCGGGUUCACGGGCAACGUGUACCACGAGUUCAACGACGGCCUCCUCCCGAUGUUCGUGACUGCGGGCCACCUCCAGCGCCGCGUGGUGUUGGUCAUCCUCGAGUACCACGACUGGUGGAUGACCAAGUACGGCGACGUCGUGUCCCGCCUCUCGGCGUUCCCGCCCAUCGACUUCACCGCCGACCGCCGCGUGCACUGCUUCCCCGAGGUGAUCGCCGGCCUCCGCAUCCACGGUGAGCUCACCGUGGACCCGGCCAGGACCCCCGAGGGCCGGAGCAUCCGCGACUUCCGGCGCCUCCUCGACGACGCCUACCGCCCCCGCAUCAACUACCUGGAGCGCAUGGAGCGCAAGGCCGCCCGCAAGCAGCGCCGCGCCAGCAAGCACCCGGCGGCUCCGGCGGAGAGGCCGAAGCUGGUGAUCGUGUCUCGGACGGGGUCCCGCGUGAUCGAGAACGAGGAGGAGCUCAAGGCGGUGGCCGCGGACGUGGGGUUCGACGUGCGCGUGGUGCGGCCGGAGCGGAGCACGGAGAUGUGCAAGAUAUACCGCGACCUGAACGCGAGCGACGCGAUGGUGGGCGUGCACGGCGCCGCCAUGACGCACUUCCUCUUCAUGCGCCCCGGCAAGGUGUUCAUCCAGGUGGUGCCGCUGGGCACGGACUGGGCGGCGAACGAGUACUACGGCGAGCCGGCGGCGCGGCUCGGCCUGCGGUACGUCGGGUACAAGAUCCUGCCGGAGGAGAGCUCGCUCGCCCGCGAGUACCCGGCCGGCCACCCCGUGCUGACGGACCCCGCCGGCGUGGCGCAGCGAGGCUGGGACGUGACCAAGAAGGUAUACCUGGACCGGCAGAACGUGCGGCUCGACCUGGCGCGGUUCCGGGAGGAGCUGGUCGCCGCCCACCGGUACCUCGUCGCCGGCAAGCGGAAGGGCCGGCCGAAAACCAAACCUCUUGCCAUAUGA